UUCAGGACAGAAGAGCAUUUCACAGAUCUUUCCUGUAACUUCUAGAAAAGUCAUCCAGCCAGAUUUAGGCUCAAGCUUCUUUACAAAGCCAUUUUCCUAUGAGAGAAUAAAUUUAACAUUUUAAAAAUCAUUGGAGAUUAAGUAUGCUGGAAUAAAAAGCAAAAAUAUUUUCAUUUAAAUAAUGCAAAUAAUCUUCUAUCCCUCUAAAGGAGCAUUGUGUAACAGAAACACAGUGUGGCCUACAUCUGUAAUUUUAAUUUUUGGUAGCCACAUUUUAAAAAGUACAAAAAUAGGAAAAAUUAAUUUUUAAGAUAUAUUUAGUGAUAAUGAUUUCUGUAUGUAAUCAAUGUCAAAUCACUAAUGAGAUAGUUUUUUUCAUAACAAACCUUCAAAAUCUCAUGAGUAUUUAGUACUUACAGCGUAUCUUAAUUCAGACUAGCCACAUUUUACUACCAUAGUGAACAGCAAGCACAGCUCUAGAGGAUAAAAAGUCUUUUUGUUCUUGUUCUUGUUUAAUUGUCCAACAUUGAUUUCAAUGCACUUAUAUUUGUAAUAUGAAUUCUAUUAUACUGUAAACUGCAUUGUAUUGAAACUCAUGAGAACUCACAGUAAAUCCAAAUUAAACCAAUACCUUUGAAGCUAUGAAAAGGUUGAUGGUUUCUUUUAUAAUCUACUCUCUUUGUGAUCGGACAUAGUUUUAAAAAUGUAGGAUAACCCAAUUAACUGGACAUUUUAUUUAAUUUACAAUCUAUAAUCAUAGAAUCCUCACUGAAAAGUCCCUCUGAGAUCAUCUAGCCUAAUGCUCUCUCUUAACAAAUGAGGAAAGUGAGGCCCACAAAAAAAAUCAGUUAUCUAAGAUUAGCCAAACCCUUGGUGCCUGGACCUGGAUUAGAAUGCAAAUACCCUACUUCUUUCCACUCCAUACAUUUCCAAACAAGUGCCAAAAUAUUCGAAAAUUGUUAAAAUAAUUUUUUCGAAUGUUCAUCUAGCAAACAUUUGUGGCUGCAUCUUACAGGUUCCAGAACCUGGGGUUACAAAUGCCUGCAAGUAGCUCAGAGCAAAGUGUAACUAAUAUUGAAACGUAAACCAAGCAUAACCCUUUGAUAGUUGGGAGAGAUUCGAGAGCUCUGCGGUGCCUUGGAAUCAUUUUAUGAACAUCACUGGCAAAGCAGAUGAAUACCACCAGCCAGGGGGAUUUCAUUUGAAAGACUUAGAAAGCCAUUUUCUGCCUACGUAAGUGUGCGUCGUGCUCUGAGACAUGCUGUCAUGCCUUGACAGAGGAAGGAAACUGCCCCUCUUCUUCCUCUUUCCCUUCUGCCAGUACAUACUCAUAGAUUACACUCUAGGGAGGUAUCCACUUCAUUACGCCCCUUCCUAAACACCAUAUUUCGCAAGUAUGAUGAGACCCUCUGAAAUGACUUUUAUUAUAACGAUAAUCAUUGUCUAUUAUCAUUGAUCAGUUAACAUGUCAUAUACAUCAACGUCUAAAGAAAGGACAGUGAACAAAGAAAAUAUUGAUAAAUUCAGCCAGAUGAAGAUUAAAAAUUUUUUUAACUAUGAAAAACUAAAAAGAACAAUAAACUAGGAAAAUAUUUACAUAUACCAUGAAAGUGUUCAUUCAAAUGUGAGAGAAAAUUCUCAGGCCCUUAAUAGUUUAAAAAGGAGAGACCAUUAAACAGAGAAAUAUAAAUCAUUCACAAGUAUAUGAGAAAAACAUUAAUAGCAGUUAAAGAAAUGUACAUUUUAACAAAGUCUUAUUUUUUUUAGACCUAUUAAAGUGGCUUUAUUUGAUGCCUAUUAAACCCUCAAAAUUAUUAAUAGUACCACCCACACUGAUAAGGUUGCUAUGAUAUUGUUCUAUUGAUAUAAUACUUUCGAAAAGAAAAUAUGUUUUCCAGUAUGCUAGAAUAUCGUAAUUAUACACACAUCUUAUGAACCAGUUACUCCACUGUUAGAAAUUUAUCAUGAGGCAGUCUUCUAAAAUAUUGGAAGGUAGGGGGCACCAGAAAAGCAUACCUAUGCUUCACUACUGAACCAUUAUAUCUAAAAGGGGAAAACCAGGCUGGGCGAAGUGGCUCAGAACUAUAAACCCAGCACUUUGGGAGGCUGAGGUGGGGAGAUCACUUGAGGUCAGGAGUUCGAGACCAGCCUGGCCAAUGUGGUGAAACUCUGUCUCUACUAAAAAUUCAAAAAUUAGCUGGGUGUGGUGGUACAUGCCUGUAAUCCCAGCUACUGAGGAGGCUGAGGCAGGAGAAUUGCUUGAACCUGGGAGGUGAAGGUUGCAGUGAGCCAAGAUCAAGCCACUGCACUACAGCCUGGAUGACAGAGUGAGACUCUGUCUCAAAAAAUAAAUAAAUAAAUAAAAGGGGGAAAAUCAAAACCAAAUUGUCUAACAAUUGGGAAUUGGUUAAGUAAAUUAUGAUAUGGCAAAUUAAUGAACUAUUCUGUAGACAUUAGAAAUUAAUGCCUAAUGUUAACAUGGAGUAUGUGAGACAGUGUUGAAAAUAUUUGUAUGUCACACCAAAAAACUCUUAUGUACACCCUAAUUAUAAUUGCAUACAAUGUCUGCAUGUGGAUAUGUUAGGGUGAUGGGAGUGACUUUUCUUCCUUUCAAAAAUGUUAUUUUCAAAUAUAUUUUCUUUAAUGAUGCUAUUUGUAUCUUAAGACCAUUAUAUAAAAAUAAAUAUACAAAUAAGGAUUCAAUAUCCUAUCAGUAAUGCAGUAGUAAAUAAGAAUUGUUCAGGCCUUAUUAUUUCUGGGAACAGUGAUAGUUUGUUAAAUUCAGCUACCUUGGUUUCAACAAAACCUAAAGCAUAAAAUAAUAUACAGUAUCAGUAAUCUAAAGAAAAUCAGAACCUCAGAAUUUUUAAAGAUACAGGCAGCCAGGCACAGUGGCUCAUGCCUGUAAUCCUAGCACUUUGGGAGGCUGGGUUGGUAGAAUUGUUUGAGCCUGGUAAGUCAAGGCUGCAGUGGGCCAUGAUCACACCACUGUACUCCAGCCUGGGUGGCAGUGCAAGACUUUGUAUGGGGAAAAAAAAAAAAGAUACAGGCAAGUAUCAUGCUUUCUCACUUCUCUAAAGACUAUUCCUUUGUUCACUCAGGAAAUAUUCACUGAGCAUUGGCCACAUGCCAGUAUCAGUUAAAGUACUGGAAACACAGUGGUGAACAAAGCAUACAGGAUCCGUGUCCUCACUAAGCUCACAUUCUCAUGGCAGACACAGACAAUAAACAGAUAAGCAAAUAAAUAUGCAAUGGGAUGUCCAGUCAUGAAAACUAUUAUGAAGGCAAUAAAGUUGGGCAGGGAGACAGAGAGUGAUAGUGGUACUUUCUUAGAUGGGUUGAUCAAGGAAGACUUCUCUGAGGAGAAGAAUUCCUUGGAAGGGAUACCUGGGCGAAAAGAAGAGGGAAGGCAGGCGAACUUAUGGCGGAAAAUUAUUCCAGGCAGAGGCAACAGCAACUGCAAAGACUGGAGGAUGGAGUGUGCUUAGUUUAUCUAAGGAGGCUGGAGCUAUGAGAACAGGAAGGGAUUCGUAGAAAAUGAGAUUUGAGAGGCAGGUAGAGGCCAGGUCAUAAAGGGCUUUGGGUAACUUCAUACUCAGGAUGUUGUGCUUUUGUUCCCAGGGUGAAGGGGCAUUUUGGAGAGUUCUGAUUAGGCCAAGAUCAGAUCUAAUUCAAGUCUGUAACAUAUCACUGUGGGUACUAUGUGGAAAACAAAUUAUAGCAGAUAAAGGAUGGAACCAUGGAGUCUGGCAGGAGGCUACUGACAGAGUCAAGUGAUUACAGCAUUUCAAAGGGGCAGCCAAGGGGAUUUGCUGAUGGAUGGAUGUGGGCUAUGAGAGACAGGAGUCCAGGCUGACUCCCAAGGUUAGAGAACUAGCACUUAAGAGAGCUUGACUGAGGGGCCCCUCGGGAGAGGUGCUUUUCUCUAACUCCUGUGUCACUAUCAUGCAUUUCUGCCUGUCUUGAGGGUCUUUUAUUUUUCACUAAAUGACUUUAAAAUCUCAAGUAAAAAUUCAAAAGAAAUAGAAAAAUUUUGCCCCAAAACGUAUUUAAUAAAAGGAUAUAUAUGAAUACUUGAGAUCAUAGCACCUCACUGCUAGAUGUUUAUAUGUUUUGGAAACGCCUUUGCCAAACUGAAUGCUUAGUCAAUCAUCUAUAUGUCUCUGUGUGCCCAUUUAUUUGGCCUCAAAUUAACCAGACUAUUAUUUAGGGUAAGGGGAUGACAAAGAAAAGAAAGACCUCUUGGCCUAACUCUAUGACCCAAGCUUUAAAAUGGUGGUUACUUGGAAAGCACCAACUCUGACUGUACGUCCUACUUUCAGAAGGGCAAAGAAUUACCUAUCUAAACUUCCUGGAAUUUCCCACAUGACUCUCAUAGUUGCACAGUAUUUGACAGUUUGCAAAGCACUUUUAAAAAAAAGUUUUAUAAUCCUUUAACUUUCCAUUAAAGGUAGGUAUUAUUGUUUUCAUUAAAUAUUAUAUAUAAUAAUGUCAUCAUUUUCAUUAAAUAUUAUAUAAAAUAAUCAUGUCAUAUCAUUUUCAUUAAAUAUUAUAUAUAAUAAAUUAUCAUGUCAUAUAUUAUUAUAUACAUUAUAUAAGGAAUCUGAGUCUCAGAGUACCUCAGUAACUUACCCAAGGUUAUACCUCUAGUGAGUAAGAAAACCAGAGUUCAAAUCUCCAGUUUCAGUGUGGCUUCACUAAAUCAUUCCCUCAGCAAAUAUUUGUUACCUUCUAUGCAACAGGUCCUAGGCAUGAGGUACACAGUGAUGCAUUAAAUAGAUAUGAUUUCUCCCAUGUGGAGCUGAGUGCCAAGCAUUCUUUCUACUCCCCCAGCAUAUGCAGAGGAGAAUGCUUCAUUGAAGGGGGAGGAAGUAAGAAGAUCCACCUGGUUCAAAAGGAAGGGUGAUCCCAAGAGAAGAGACACGAGUUUCAUCUCAUGAUCAUACUAAUGGUUUUUAAGAACCAUCCUUUCCUUAUGAAUGCUGGAGGCAGCCAAAUGGCACUAGCUCUCCUGUCAGAUCUUGUGAGAGCACAUCCUCUCAGCACUUCAAAUUAGGAGAGCGGACAGGAGGAAACCAUGGUAAAUGUGGAAGAGGACAAAAAGAGAGAUGAGAAGCCACAAACAAAAGAAGGCAGGAAGGCAGGUAGGCAGGAAAGACAAGCUGAUAAAAAGGAGAAAGAGAAUAAGGAAAGAGAUUAUAAGUCCCAUUACUGAUAGACCAGUCUCGUUUCUUCCCAUUAGGGGAUCUGCUUUACAUGGUAACUAGUAUCUAACUGUAUUUGAUCAUAUAAUUUAUGGAAACUAAAUAUAGUCAGAUUCUCUCAAUGGAAGCUAGGUAAUACUACUAUUACUAACAACAAAAACCCUAAACUUGUACUGAGUACUCAUUUUCAGGAAUUGUUCCAAGUGCUUUGUUUACAUUAACUGAUUUAAUCCUUAUACAAGUCCCAGGAGAUAGGUUGCAAUAUUUUCCUGUUUUUACAGAUGAGGAACCAAGGCUUAGGGAAGUUAAGAAACUUGUAUAAGUCCGAGGUCUGGAGAUUGAGACCAUCCUGGCUAACACAGUGAAACCCCAUCUCUACUAAAAAUAAAAAAAAAUUAAAAAAUAAAAUAAAAAUUAGCCGAGCACGGUGGCAGGCGCCUGUAGUCCCAGCUACUUGGAAGGCUGAGGCAGAACAGCAUGAACCCAGGAGGCGGAGCUUGCAGUGAGCAGAGAUCGCACCACUGCACUCCAGCCUGGGCAACAGAGUGAGACUCCAUCUCAAAAAAAAAAGAAAGAAAGAAACUUGUAUAAGUCACACAGGUAGUAAGCACUUGAGCCCAGAAAUGAAGCCAGGUCUGUCUGCUUCCAAGUUGGUGCUCCAAAUAGCUAUGCUAUACUCACAUACUGCAUUCUUAAUACAAAGUUUCCAUAAAGUCUCUGGGCACUUUUAAAAUUUAAUUAAAUUACAGAUUGUGGCCAGGCGCGGUGGCUCACACCUGUAAUCCUAGCACUUUGGGAGGCUGAGGCAGGCAGAUCACGAGGUCAGGAGAUCGAGACCAUCCUGGCUAACACGGUGAAACCCCGUCUCUACUAAAAAUCCAAAAAAUUAGCCGGGCGUGGUGGUGGGCGCCUGUAGUCCCAGCUACUCGGGAGGCUGAGGCAGAAGAAUGGCAGGAACCUGGGAGGCGGAGCUUGCAGUGAGCCGAGAUCACGCCACUGCACUCCAGCCUGGGCGACAGAGCGAGACUCCGUCUCAAAAAAAAAAAAAAAAAAAAUUAUAGAUUGUAUGUUUUAUGAUCAGUGAUUUCUUGAGAGUUUUUUCAGGCAAGUUAAAGCCAGUGCUCACAUCUUGAUAAAGUUGUGAGUGCCUCCUCUACUCUUACCUCUUCUUGCGGGCCACUGACUACUAGCAUAAGGAAGUGAUUGUGCCAUUUCCCCUGAAAUGAAUCAUUCAAGAGUAAAUUCAUUCAUUUGAGCAGAUUUGUCAACAUCACUAUGAAAAGAAGGUAACAGUUUUCCAUGUCAGUUUGUACUAACCCAAAAAAGCACUGCCUUUCCUUUCCUUAAGAUCAAUGUCUCAUCUGAGCUGGAAAAGGAGCACAUAGAUUGCUUUGAAAUGACAUCUUCAAGAGUAUUUAUUUCAUGUCUACAACCUGAACUAUUCAGGUGUUUUUUGUUUUUUGUUUUUUUAAAGAGCUUGGAAACUUUAGAAAGGCUGAGUGUGUGCACAUGCAGGCAAUGUGUGUAUUUGUAUCUACACUCGGGAGAGAUUCAUGCAACUGCACUCAUGUUUACAUGAGUGUACCACCCUCGAAAGAUGAGGGUACUACUAGAAAUUCUCACAGACAAGAUUCCACAGCCUUUGCUAACAAUGAGUUCCAGAAGCUCACAAAAUUUAUUGUGGAGAAGUUAAAUUUUUAAGUAAUAUUUAUUCACUGUCUGUGUGUUCCAAGUACUAAGCUAGGCAUUGGAAAUACAAUCCAAAACCACAUAGAGCCGGCAAACUAGUAGAGUAUUUCUCUGCAGGCUCAUCUGUGGUCCUCUGUGCCAGACAACGUUUGCCUUCACCUGAAAUCUACACAGUGCAGCUGAAAUUUCCACCAGUCCUCAAGUAUAGCCUCCCACAGCCAACUAGAAGAAAACAUGACAAAACAUUUCACAUGCUUCGCCCAGCCUCAGUCAGGCUCAGUUAGAAAGAACUAAGUUCCAGAAAGAAGAUGACUAAGAAAGGGGAGUAGCUUCAGUAAGCUCUAUCAUGCAGGAAGGCCUUAAACAAAAUGAAAAAGGCAUCAAGUAAAAGAUCAAUAAAUUUGAUCGCAACAAAUAUUUAAACGGCUAUAAUGACCGAAGACAUUGUCAGCUUUAAAGAAUAAUCAGCAGGCCGGGCGCGAUGGCUCACGCCUGUAAUCCCAGCACUUUGGGAGGCCAAGGCGGGUGGAUCACAAGGUCAGGAGAUUGAGACCAUCCUGGCUAACACGGUAAAACCCCGUCUCUACUAAAAAUACAAAAAAUUAACCAGGCGUGGUGGCGGGCACCUGUAGUCCCAGCUACUCGGGAGGCAGAGGCAGGAGAAUGGUGUGAACCCAGGAGGCGGAGCUUGCAGUGAGCUGAGAUCGCACCACUGCACUCCAGCCUGGGAGACAGAGUGAGACUCCGUCUCAAAAAAAUAAUAAUAAUCUUAAUAAUCAGCAAACUAAAGAUAACUGCCACAUAUAUAAAAAUAAUUUGUAUCCAGAAUAUUCAAAGAAUUCCUACAAAUCAAUAACAGACCAAAUAAUAGGAAAAUGGGCAAAGGAUAUAAACAGGCAAUUCCCUGCAUAAGAUUUACAAAUGAUCAGUUAAUAUAUGAAAAGAUGCUCAAAUGGAAAAAUAUUUAACCUUACUGGGAAUCAAGGAAACAAGAAUUAAAACAAGAUAAACUCUGCAGUUUUUUAGCCCAACAAAUUAAGGAAAGUAUAACAGAUUGCUACAAACUAACAUUAGUCAGCUGGGGUAGGGAGACAUGGAUACUCUAACAAGCUGCUGAUGGGAGUGUAACUUGGUGGAGCCACUUUGGAAGGCAAGGACCUAGUAAAUGAAAAAAUGUACGUACACCAUGACCCAGCAUCUACAACCCAACAUCCACCCUAGAAAACUACACACAUGCAUGAGGAAAAAUGACAUUCAAUAAAGCACUGUGUGUGAUAACAAACCUGAAAUAACCUAAACAGCUAUCAGCCACAAAUGGCCAGAUACUCUACAGCAUUUACAUACAUUAGAAUAUACAUAGCACUUUUAAUAAUACUAUUUUAAAUACCUUUGGAUAAAAAAAGUUGCAGAAUUACCACCAUGUACUGUUUUUACAUAUACACAUGUAAAUAUAUGUAUGCAAGAUUUUUAUGUAUAUAUAAAAUACAUAAACAUACAUGUACAUAUAUGUACAUAUAUGUAUGCUCAUAUAAAACAUUUUACAUAAAACAUUUACAAAAACUUUUUUUACAAAGAAGUAUUAUGUUAGCCUGGCCAACAUGGUGAAACCCCAUCUUUACUAAAAAUAAGCACCAAAAAAAUUAGCCAGGCGUGGUGGCAGCCACCUGUAUUCCCAGCUACUCCAGACUCUGAGGCAGGAGACUCACCUGAACCUGGGAGACAGAGGUUGCAGUGAGCCGAGAUCGCGCCAUU
rnacentral:lncRNA from 10 species